rnacentral:rRNA from 1 species
UAGCAGUGAGGGAUAUUGGUCAAUAGCCUAACGGCUGAACCAGCAACUUGGAGGAAUGAAAGGGCAAUAGCUGAUUGCAUUAAAUUUAAAAUUAGAGUUUUUUUUAUUUUUAAUGUAGUUACUACUUUGUAGUUUAAAUUUCUAGGUAGAAUUAUGAUGAUGACAUUAUCUAUCUAUAGGUCUUGACCAAAUUACGUGCCAGCAGUCGCGGUAAUACGUAGAAGACAAGUGUUAUUCAUCUUUAUUAGGUUUAAAGAGUACCAAGACGGUUAAUAAAGCCCAAAAUACAUGAGCACAGGGGACACAUUAACUAGAGUUAUAUGAAAGGAAGCAUUAAGGUACUGUUGAGUGUAGAGAUAAAAUUCAGUCAUACCAGAUGAAAGGCACAGAUUUAUGCGAAGGCAUCUUUCUUAUGUAAUAACUGACGUUGUAGGACGAAGGCUUUUGAAGUGAAAAGGUUAGAUACCCUUGUAAUUUAAGCAGAAAAUGAUGAAUGUUAUAGGUUUAAUAUAUACAGCCCAAAAAAAAAAGGGUCAAUGUUUUAUUGGGUCUAUAAAUGAAAUUGUAAGCAUCCCUCCUCAAAAUUAAUUUGGCAACAUUGGAACUGAAAUCAUUAAACCGUUUCUGAAACCAGUAGUGAAGUAUGUUGUUUAAUUAGAUGAUACACAAAAAACCUUACCACAAUUUGAAUAUAUAUCAUUAAUGAUAUUUACAAGCGUUGCACGGCUGUCUUCAGUUAAUGUCGUGAAAUUUUGGUUAGUUCCAUAAAAUUAACGUAAACCCUCGUUUUAUUUAUAAAUAAAAUUUACAAUCUGUUUCUAAAAUUUGAUUUAAAAAAGGGACUAAAACAAUUCACAUGGCCUAAAUAUUGUGGGCUAUAAACCCGCCACAUAA